rnacentral:rRNA from 1 species
GAUGAACGCCGGCGGCGUGCCUAACACAUGCAAGUCGAACGGAGAUUACGGACGGAAGUUUUCGGAUGGAAGCCUGUAAUUCUUAGUGGCGGACGGGUGAGUAACGCGUGGGCAACCUGCCCUAUACAGGGGGAUAGCAGCUGGAAACGGCUGGUAAGACCGCAUAAGUCGGUUAAAUCGCAUGAUUUGAUCGGGAAAUGAGCAAUCAGGUAUAGGAUGGGCCCGCGUCCGAUUAGCCAGUUGGCAGGGUAAAAGCCUACCAAAGCGACGAUCGGUAGCCGGACUGAGAGGUCGGACGGCCACAUUGGGACUGAGACACGGCCCAAACUCCUACGGGAGGCAGCAGUGGGGGAUAUUGCACAAUGGAGGAAACUCUGAUGCAGCGACGCCGCGUGAGUGAAGAAGUAUUUCGGUAUGUAAAGCUCUAUCAGCAGGGAAGAUGAUGACGGUACCUGACGAAGAAGCCCCGGCUAACUACGUG